GCUCUCGGGUGACGAGCGGCGGACGGGUGAGUAAUGUCUGGGAAACUGCCUGAUGGAGGGGGAUAACUACUGGAAACGGUAGCUAAUACCGCAUAAUGUCGCAAGACCAAAGUGGGGGACCUUCGGGCCUCAUGCCAUCAGAUGUGCCCAGAUGGGAUUAGCUAGUAGGUGGGGUAACGGCUCACCUAGGCGACGAUCCCUAGCUGGUCUGAGAGGAUGACCAGCCACACUGGAACUGAGACACGGUCCAGACUCCUACGGGAGGCAGCAGUGGGGAAUAUUGCACAAUGGGCGCAAGCCUGAUGCAGCCAUGCCGCGUGUGUGAAGAAGGCCUUCGGGUUGUAAAGCACUUUCAGCGGGGAGGAAGGCGAUAAGGUUAAUAACCUUGUCGAUUGACGUUACCCGCAGAAGAAGCACCGGCUAACUCCGUGCCAGCAGCCGCGGUAAUACGGAGGGUGCAAGCGUUAA
rnacentral:rRNA from 1 species